rnacentral:rRNA from 1 species
UGGGGAAUAUUCCGCAAUGGACGAAAGUCUGACGGAGCAACGCCGCGUGAGUGAUGAAGGUUUUCGGACUGUAAAGCUCUGUUGUUUGGGACGAAAGUGCCUGUUGCGAACAGUUACGGGUAUUGACGGUACUAAACGAGGAAGCCACGGCUAACUACGUGCCAGCAGCCGCGGUAAUACGUAGGUGGCAAGCGUUGUCCGGAAUUAUUGGGCGUAAAGAGCAUGUAGGCGGGAAUCUAAGUCUGUUGUUAAAAUGCGGGGCUCAACCCCGUAUUGCGAUGGAAACUGGGUUUCUUGAGUGCAGGAGAGGAAAGGGGAAUUCCCAGUGUAGCGGUGAAAUGCGUAGAUAUUGGGAGGAACACCAGUGGCGAAGGCGCCUUUCUGGACUGUGUCUGACGCUGAGAUGCGAAAGCCAGGGUAGCGAACGGG